AUGAACAGAUCCAUGGGCACUGGAUAGAGAGACCUCACUGGGAACUGGCUCCCCUCCUCCCAAAAGAACAUCUACUCUUCUUUACUAGGGAACCCCAAGAGGGCUCACCUCUCUGUCUCUGUGCAGGGCUUGGAGGAUGGCCUGGCCCUUGCUUCUCCCUGAGGCCCUUCAUGUGCUGUGUGAACUUAGGCCCAGGGACACCCUCUCAGGCCCUCAGUCACCUCCUACCUGCACAGUAAGGGGCUGCAGCAGACCAGGGCGGCAGAUUCCAGCACCUCCCCAGAUGAGGCACUAGUCACUUACCAAGAAUGGCCGACAUGAGGUGCAGGGGGACAUCAUUGAGCGUGCUGAGCCCCACAGCAAGUGUGGUUCCUCCUUCUCUUCUGGUUCCAGCAGUGGUGGAGAAAUAACCUGCCCGGGUUGAAUUCUGACUUCACCGCUGGUUAAGCUGCGUAUUCUGCUUUGAUGUCCUCAUCAGUAAACUGCAUGGAUCCCAUGAAGGAACAACGCCAAAACCCAAGAGGACAGCUGUUGCAGCAUCCAGUUCAUCUUACGAAUUUCAACAAGUAGUCAUGCAAUAAAUGUUUUGGUUUUCAAAAAUCUAAAAAAAGAAAAAAAAGAAUUUCUCAGAUGGACAAGAAACAGGUAUCUAUUGCCUGAUGAUCAAGUUUCAAGAGAUACAAGGGAGACACCCAAGAAAAAACCCACAAAAUCUGUUUAAAUGAUCUCAUACAUGCUGACAAUAAAUCUAGGAGAUUGUGAGUUUAUAUCUAUUUCAUUAUUACUGGUAAAAAUAGCUUAAAAGCCCCAAAGAAUAUUUAUAUAAUUAAUGUUCAUGAUGGUCCUGUCUGGGAUGUAUGAAGUUUGGAGAGGCCAAAUGCCCCAGACAUAUUCAGCUAACCAGGCUACAUCCGGAAUUCAAAGCCAGGCCACUGGGAUGUCAAAACCCCUGACCUUUCCCUUUCGAAGUGCUAUCUGCAAAAGCAGGAAACUGUGAUGCCACACAAAGACUGUCAGUAUUUUCCCAUUUCACCUUGAGAACACCUUGGGCUCCCCAGGAAAUUUGCCAUGUACAGUUGCCCUUGGCUGCCCCAGCCCAGGGCUGUGGAGGCUCUAAACACACUCCUGGGGAAGUUUCAUCCU